GAAAGCGUGGUGGUGCGAUUGAAAGGGUGUACCAUCGGCGCGGUACAAACCUGAGCAACGGCCUGGAAACAGGAUGCUUGUCUUAAAGGUGCGGGUAGUCGUGUCCCUUUUUAGGGGUGUGGCCCUGUUAUCAUAUUUGGUGAGCAAACGCUGCUACGUCCUCUAAUCACCCCCCGAUGGGGGACGGGGGUUGAGGGGCGGCAUGCAUAGAAGUUAGGGCACCCCUUGGGGUGGACCGGACAGUGGCAUUGGUACGCCCUUGUCACAGCGAUGGGCCCGAUGAUACGGAAAGCAUGUUGGGGCUGGUAUCCUGGGACCUUCACGUGGUGGCCCUGUUUUGACUAACCUGACCAGGAUAUUCAUCAUGCUGUGGAUGGAAUGAAGAUGGCUUCAGUGUGUUAUUAAAGCCAAAAUGUGAUAUGCGAAACAUGUCAGAGACAAGAUAUCUGCUGCGGUAUAAAUCGUGGACAAGGACUACCAGCUUUACAUGUAUAAGGUUGUACACUACUACCACCCAACACCAUCGUCUGGGUGCACUUGCAUCCUGGCUCUACCUUAGCCUUCCUGUGACAGCAUUCAACCUCUGAUUAGCCAGAUCAACCUCUAAUUACACAAAUACUGCGAUCCCAUCAUAUCUCCUACCUUGGCUCAAAGGGGUGGACCACACAGCAAUUACGACAGUCUUGUCAUCAUCAUUCGAAUUUGCACUUAUAUCAGUCACGUAGUGAUGGAGAGACAUUCCUGGAGUAUAAGUCUGGUCAGCAUCAGACACAAACGAUGCAACUGAUCAUUGAGUGAUCAUUUGAUGGGGAGGGGGCACACGUUCAGCCAAUUAGCCCCCUUUCUUCCACCUCGACCAAAACUGGAUAGAUGCAAAUUAAACUGAAUCAUCGAAAUGAACCAAACGCCAUACGCGAUGCAUGCCUCGCAAUGUGACUUGACAGUUAAUUAGAACUGUGUCAAGUUUGCCAUACUUCUGAACUGUUGCUGAUAUUGAUGUCUUUCUUCGUCGGGCCAGAAGAAAGGGAUGCAAUGCUCAAACUGUACAUAUGUAGACGGCAUGUGAUCACUGUAUGACCCCUUUCUAUGGAGAAACCAUUGUGCGUGCUUUGAACCUUUUUGAUUGAAAACCGUGACGGAACUUUUCAUCAUCAGAACUUUCAUGAGUGGUGGUGGGAAAUAAUGAGACUGCUGAGUUUUCAAAAUGUUUGAUAUUUGAAUUGUGUUUUAUUCUUAAAGAUAUAUUUAAAAGUCAGUUGGUUAACAUGUUUGUAUUUUUUGCUGUAAGGGCAUCCUUUUAUACCCAAUGGUUCUCAUUAUUACCAACCAAUGCCAUUAACCCCAAAAGAUGUGAGGGUGUUGCAUUUUCGGUCUAUCGUUUACCUUUACUGUUUGUCAUGCCUACUACGACAACCAAAAUGAAAGUGAGCUGCAUCUUGCAAAAAUGAAGUCAAGUACAUUGCCAAUAAUGGCUUUGUUGUUUUGUUAUUAUAGGCGAGCUUGCAAACAUCUUUGCACUAUUAAACAAGAGACUAUACGCACUUGGCAUCAUUUACUUUAUCCAUC